rnacentral:misc_RNA from 1 species
UGUGGGAGCGAGCCUGCUCGCGAUGCGAUCUGACAUUCAACAAAGGUGUUGAAUGUUAAUGCCCCAUCGCGAGCAGGCUCGCUCCCACA